rnacentral:rRNA from 1 species
UACGUAGGGGGCAAGCGUUGUCCGGAAUCAUUGGGCGUAAAGAGCGCGUAGGCGGCCCGAUAAGUCCGCUGUGAAAGUCAAGGGCUCAACCCUUGAAUGCCGGUGGAUACUGUCGGGCUAGAGUCCGGAAGAGGCGAGUGGAAUUCCUGGUGUAGCGGUGAAAUGCGCAGAUAUCGGGAGGAACACCUAUGGCGAAGGCAGCUCGCUGGGACGUUACUGACGCUGAGACGCGAAAGCGUGGGAG